AUUCUCAAAGCUCAGCCAUGGGGAGCUGUGGCUGGAACUCCCAUUGCCUUUCGACUGGCCACCAGCGGAGAUCCCAUUGCCGGAUAUCCCAUCGCCUUUCGAUGGGCCUACAUUCGUGCUACCGCCACCGUCACCAUUGCCAUCACCACCUCCGCCAUCUCCAUCACCACCUCCGCCAUCACCAUCACCACCUCCUCCGUCGACAAUACCACUUAUUCCUCCUUUUACCGGCGGCUUUUUGCCUCCUUUGCCCGGCUCUAAGCUUCCUGAUUUUGCCGGCCUUUUGCCUCUGAUUCCCAACUUACCUGAUGUGCCUCCCAUAGGUGGUGGUCCACCUGUUAACCAGCCAAAGCCGUCGUCACCAUCACCCCUAGUUAAGCCGCCACCACCACCACCUUCACCAUGUAAGCCAUCACCACCUGAUCAGUCUGCAAAGCAACCACCACAACCUCCUCCAGCAAAACAACCAUCACCUCCACCUCCUCCACCACCAGUUAAGGCACCAUCUCCAUCUCCAGCAAAGCAACCACCACCUCCUCCACCGCCAGUUAAGGCACCAUCUCCAUCUCCAGCCACUCAGCCACCUACAAAGCAACCGCCACCGCCGCCACGUGCUAAGAAAUCGCCUCUUCUACCUCCUCCGCCACCAGUUGCUUAUCCGCCAGUUAUGACACCAUCUCCAUCACCGGCUGCUGAGCCACCUAUUAUAGCACCAUUUCCAUCACCACCAGCGAAUCCACCCCUCAUUCCCCGUCGACCAGCACCACCAGUAGUUAAGCCGCUUCCACCUUUGGGGAAGCCCCCAAUCGUCAGUGGCCUUGUUUAUUGUAAAUCCUGCAACAGCUAUGGGGUUCCCACUCUGCUCAACGCCUCCCUACUCCAAGG
rnacentral:lncRNA from 1 species